GUCCAAAUCAAAUGUUUUCUUUUCCAUGAAGCCCUUUUAAUCCCCGUUAUGAUUUUUCUCCACAUUUUCAGCCCUGGGACGUUUAAAACGAAUGAACGGCUACCUAAUUCCAUUUUGCAGAAACCUCUGGACUGAUGGGGGAGUUGGGGAGGCGGGGGGGUGGGGAUGGGGGGGUGGUUGUUGGUGUUGUUUUGAUUUCAAACAGAGCAAGACUCCAUUUCCCAGAAUCCGCCUCUCCAGAGGAACAAUUCUCCAAGGUGGGGUGCUGCACCCCGCCCCCUCUACUUUCGGUCCCGCCUCGUCCACGCUUCUGAUGAAUUCUGGGAAUCGUAGUUCGAGGCUCUCCGUGAGCAACCUUUGUGACCAUUUGAUUAUGGUUUGAGCCGGACAUUUUAAUUUAAUUUUGGGGGGAGCAGAAAUCCCUGACAUUCCAGGAUGUGACUGUGGACUUCUCCCAGGAGGAAUGGGGGCUGCUGGAGCCAGCUCAGAAGGACAUGUACAGGGACAGGAUGCAGGAGAACUAUGAGAACUUUGUCUCCCUGGUCUCAUCAGAAAUGUAAUCUGGACAGAAGUCAAACAAAAGUUGGUCAAAAAUAUAGUCAGAAGUCAGUCCUUGUUGUACAACAUCAAUUUCCUAAAACCAACUUCAAACAGUUUUUAGAUGUAUGUGAAUAUAAUGGAACUGCUCUAUGUAACUUUAUAAUAAGGACAAGAAACCCUUCACUCACCAUUCAAACUGUAUUCAUAACUGUGGAAUAUAUAGUUAAGGAAAACACCUUAAACAUCAUGAAUCUGGCAAAGCUUUUAAUAUCAAUUCAUGCCAUCUAGUACAUCAAAGAAUUCAUACUGAAGAGAAGCCAUUUGGAUGUAAUGAAUAUGGAAAAAACUUAGGCAAUAAACAAAACCUAAUUGCACA
rnacentral:lncRNA from 1 species